UGGUUGCCAUCUACCCGAAAAUAACUGGU
rnacentral:piRNA from 1 species